rnacentral:rRNA from 1 species
UGCGGAGGAUCCGAGCGUUAUCCGGAUUUAUUGGGUUUAAAGGGUGCGUAGGCGGCUUUUUAAGUCAGCGGUGAAAUUUUGCAGCUUAACUGUAACAGUGCCGUUGAUACUGGGGAGCUAGGAUUUGGUUGCUGUGGGUGGAAUGUGUGGUGUAGCGGUGAAAUGCUUAGAGAUCACACAGAAUAUCGAUUGCGAAGGCAGCUCACAAAGCCAAGAUUGACGCUGAGGCACGAAAGUGUGGGGAUCAAACAGGAUUAGA